rnacentral:rRNA from 1 species
UACGGAGGAUGCGAGCGUUAUCCGGAUUUAUUGGGUUUACAGGGUGCGCAGGCGGCCUGUUAAGUCAGCGGUAAAAGCCCGGGGCUCAACCCCGGCGAGCCGUUGAAACUGGCAGUCUCGAGUUGGAGAGAAGUAUGCGGAAUGCGCGGUGUAGCGGUGAAAUGCAUAGAUAUCGCGCAGAACCCCGAUUGCGAAGGCAGCCUGCCGGCCCCACACUGACGCUGAGGCACGAAAGCGUGGGUAUCGAACAGG